rnacentral:rRNA from 1 species
AGCAGCCGCGGUAAUUCCAGCUCCAAUAGCGUAUAUUAAAGUUGUUGCAGUUAAAAGCUCGUAGUUGAAUUUCGGGACCAAUCUGCCGGUCGUGCCUCCGGUACGCACUGGUUUUAUUGGUCUCUCCCUUCUGACGAACCAUGAUGUCAUUAAUUUGGUGUCAUGGGGAAUCAGGACUGUUACUUUGAAAAAAUUAGAGUGUUUAUAGCAGGCUCACGCCUGAAUACAUUAGCAUGGAAUAAUGAAAUAGGACGUUUGACCCUAUUUUGUUGGUUUCUAGGAUCGACGUAAUGAUUAAUAGGGAUAGUUGGGGGCAUUAGUAUUCAAUUGUCAGAGGUGAAAUUCUUGGAUUUAUUGAAGACUAACUACUGCGAAAGCAUUUGCCAAGGAUGUUCUCAUUAAUCAAGAACGAAAGUUAGGGGAUCGAAGACGAUCAGAUACCGUCGUAGUCUUAACCAUAAACUAUGCCGACUAGGGAUCGGAUGAUGUUAAUUUUUUUAAUGACUCA